AAUGAACGCUGGCGGCGUGCUUAACACAUGCAAGUCGAACGAGAACAGAGUAGCUUGCUAUUCUAAGUAAAGUGGCGCACGGGUGAGUAACGCGUGGAUAAUCUACCCCUGAAUUGGGAAUAACAUGGCGAAAGUCGUGCUAAUACCGAAUGACAUCAUGAAAACUUCGGUUUUUAUGAUCAAAGAUAGCCUCUGCAUAUGCUAUUGUUUGGGGAUGAGUCCGCGUGCCAUUAGCUAGUUGGUGGGGUAAAAGCCUACCAAGGCUACGAUGGCUAGCUGGUCUGAGAGGAUGAUCAGCCACACUGGAACUGAGACACGGUCCAGACUCCUACGGGAGGCAGCAGUGAGGAAUUUUGCGCAAUGGGGGCAACCCUGACGCAGCAACGCCGCGUGAGUGAAGAAGGCUUUAGGGUCGUAAAACUCUGUCAAAUGGGAAGAAUGAGUAUGCAAUGAAUAAGUGUAUACAGUGACGGUACCAUUAGAGGAAGCACCGGCUAACUCCGUGCCAGCCGCCGCCGUAACAC
rnacentral:rRNA from 1 species